rnacentral:sRNA from 1 species
UUUGGCCAUGUAGUAACACUGCCUGGGGCAAGUCACUGAACUGUUUGAACACCUCAUCCUCAUUACUACUCCUGAGCUCAGCACCACUCCUCAGGGGGAGCUGCCUCCUAACAGAUGCUGCAGAUGCCGGAUCUGUUUCUUCACAGGUUUGGGCCUGACACCCAGCACUUGGUCCUGAAUGAGAACUGUGCCUCAGUUCACAACCUUCGCAGCCACAAGAUUCAAACCCAGCUCAACCUCAUCCACCCGGACAUCUUCCCCCUGCUCACCAGUUUCCCCUGUAAGGUAGUGUCUCAGACCGGCCCCUUGUCGGCCCAGCUCUCGUCCCCUCUCUUUCUCUCCAUGAAUGUGUUUUGUCUCUUUCAGGAGGUCCCCACCCUCAGUGUGCCCGUGGUUCAGGGUGAAUGCCUCCUCAAGUACCAGCUCCGUCCCAGGAGGGAGUGGCAGAGGGAUGCCAUUAUUACUUGCAAUCCUGAGGAAUUCAUAGUUGAGGCGCUGCAGCUUCCCAACUUCGAGCAGAGCGUGCAGGAGUACAGGAGGAGUGCGCAGGACGGCCCAGCCCUAGCAGAGAAAAGAAGUCAGUACCCAGAAAUCAUCUUCCUUGGAACAGGGUCUGCCAUCCCGAUGA